GGGCAUCCUUCUCCACAUCCCAGCCAUGACGGGCUGCAUGCAUCCAGGGGAUCUGGAAGAUCUUCUUCUCCUACAGGUCAUGCAGUGCUUAGAACUGCCACCUUGUACUCAAAAUACUGGGUUUUGAGUCCAUUCUUCUGCUGCAGGACCCCUGACCAAGCCACGAAGAUACUCUAACAAUAACAGGAUUCUACGAAAAAACUGACCUCACCCAAAAAAUGUCUGAAAAUACAUUUGACUAAAGAUGC